AUUGAACGCUGGCGGCAUGCUUUACACAUGCAAGUCGAACGGUAACAGGCCGCAAGGUGCUGACGAGUGGCGAACGGGUGAGUAAUGCAUCGGAACGUGCCCAGUCGUGGGGGAUAACGCCGCGAAAGCUGCGCUAAUACCGCAUACGAUCUAUGGAUGAAAGCGGGGGACCGUAAGGCCUCGCGCGGUUGGAGCGGCCGAUGUCAGAUUAGGUAGUUGGUGGGGUAAAGGCUCACCAAGCCAACGAUCUGUAGCUGGUCUGAGAGGACGACCAGCCACACUGGGACUGAGACACGGCCCAGACUCCUACGGGAGGCAGCAGUGGGGAAUUUUGGACAAUGGGCGCAAGCCUGAUCCAGCAAUGCCGCGUGCAGGAAGAAGGCCUUCGGGUUGUAAACUGCUUUUGUACGGAACGAAACGGUCCUGGUUAAUACCUGGGGCUAAUGACGGUACCGUAAGAAUAAGCACCGGCUAACUACGUGCCAGCCGCCGCGGUAACAC
rnacentral:rRNA from 1 species